AAUGAUGCCUUAGGUCUGCUCCAUUUGCUUUCUCUGAUUUCCCUCUGACUCUGCAGGCUUCCUACUCGCCCAGUCUUGCCAGAGUUCCUUAUUCCCUGGAGAGAUGAAUGAAGGUGUUCAGGCCCAUGUGAGAGGCAACGUGUGAACUGUCACAGCAGGACUAUGCACCCGCAUGGCCUGUCUUCAUUGCAACACAGCUUCCUGUUACCGCACCUGAGGAGGCUGCAGAUGCUGUUCCAAGUGAUUGGGCUACCGACACCCCUGAAGAGACCUGGCUCGUGGCUUUAACCUGGUCCAGAUAUGGCUACAGGGCCACUUGGGGAAUGAAGCAGCAGGUGCAUGAGCAGGAAACUGGACUGGAUGUGGCGCAGCCCGGCCUUGCACCUGUGCUCAUGUACCAGCUGCUGGCAUCACCGUCAGCCCAUUGUGCCGUCACACUGUCACCUGCAUCUGCAUUUUCAAAGAUGAUGUAUUUGCGAUAGACAAAAAGUGCUAACUAUCCAGAUGCCCAUCCUGUGUGGAGCAAAGAAACAGAAUGCAGUUUGUCCACAUGGUGAAAUGGGGUGCGGCAAAGUAAACGAAGGGCUGACACCUGCUACAACUGGAGCCUUGAAAACAUGGUGAGUGAGUCAAGCAGGUUACCAAAAAACAUGGACCAUCUGUAUUUUGAAAAAAUUGUGUGUCGAUGUAGAACUUUCAUUUUCACAUCCAAAUAAAUGUGUCUUUUAAUUAUUUUUGCAUGAAAUUUUUGAAAUAAGCUGAUAUAACAAGUUAUUGAACUGUGCAUUUUAAAGAGAUGCAUUUUAAGGUGUGUAAAUAUCUAAACUAGAAGCUGGUUUUUUUUUUUAAUGCACCUUAGGAUAUGCAUUUUCAUCCUGUUGAAAAGGGUAAAUGAACAGUGAAGUGGAAUUCUUCCAGAGAAAAACGGCAGCAGAAGCUAAGAGGGCCACGCGUUCUUCCACCCGUCUCUUCAACAAAAGCUGAGUGUCAAUGCAAUGCUGGCCAACGGUGCCCCCUGCAGUUGUGCAACAUGGUGGCCCAGAUGUCCCCGCCCUCAUGAAAUGCACAAAGUGGGUAAAAGGAGACGUUGAUCCAAAAGGUGACAUGCAGAAGACACUGUUUGGGGUGGCCAGAAGACUCCAGGAAGUACUUGGAGGAGGCAGCCACUUCCCUGACCCUCAUACUCUCUCUUCCAGGCAGAGAGUAAAGAAAGAAGAUAAAACUAAACCAAGAAAUGAACAUUUAGAUGAAGCCAAACUUGGGCAAGACCAGCCUUGCAGCUGUCUCAAGCGUGACCUGGAGUUAAAAGUGUUGGGCCUAGUGGUUAAGACAGUCCUCAAGUCUCCCACUUCCCUCAUUCAAGUGCCUGGGUUCUAUCCCCAGCUCUGGCUUCCUGCUGAUGGGUACCCUGGACGGCAGCUCAAGCCGCUGGGUCUUUGCCACUUAUAUGGGAGACCCGGUUCAGUUCUGCUCCUGACUCCCAGCUUCUGCCUGUCUCAACCUUGGCCAUCAAAAGCAGUGAGGAGGUGAGCCGGGGGAUGGGAGUCAAGCCCUGGAGGUAACUAUGGUGAACUGUGCAGGUCCACAU